CCUGGACAUGGAGAUGUCAUAGGAGAUGUAUACGGUCGUAUAACACUUGUAUAUCCUCACAAACUUUGUCUCACAUCGAGACGUUAUAGUGCCCCUUACACAAAAUAUUUUAUUGUCUCAUUUGAAAGAACAUUUAAUACCACAGAACACAGAGUAACAACUUUUUCAAAUUUUUAUUUUUAUGCCUCGCUUGUGAGUUAUAUCCUGUUUUUUCGAAGUAAAUUACAAUUGAAAGCUUUUUUAUCUUGACCAUUAUCAAAUGAAAACAACUCGUUGUGUCGGUUUGUAUUAAAAAUCCUAUUUACUUUUGUGGUAAAUAUAUAUACUCCAUGUGCAAUGCAUUAUGAGGUAAUUUAUAUAUCAAACACAAGAACAGAAAUUUGGAGUUGCUAACGAGACAAUAAAAAUUUUGGUGCUACCUAGGGGCACUUCAAUAUAUUUCCUACGGAAUAUUGAAAUACUACUGGAAUUUCCCAGCAAUCCAAUUUAAGCAACAACAGUCUUACAUUGUAACUCUUUUCCGCCUAAAAUUUUCAUCUCUCGUCCAUCGAAAAAUUCUGAAUGUGAGAUGUUGUAUGAUGAGUAAGAUUGAUGACGUCAGCUUGGUUUGGAGAAUGAGAAAAUAUCGACACAAACGCUAUCUUCAUUUACAGAUCUUUAUUUAUUACUGUGAUGUGGGUGCGAUAAAUUCAAGAAUCUCAGCCGUACCUGACUGGUGCUCCAAUAAUUACUGCCGCGCACUUGAGCACCAACAUAUUAAGUCUUAGUCUUUAAGAGAAAGUACAUAAAGGACAAUUUUCUGAAAGGUAUUCAUUCAGUAACCUAAGUUAGAACAAGAUGGAACAAGAAUUGUAUAUAUCAACAUUACAAUUGACUCCAACAUUCAUUAGCCUCGUCAGUCAAAUCGUGUUCCAUCCCGACUCAUGUCGGAUUUACACAUAUACCUACUAAAUGCCUUGCGCAUAGAAAGAUCAUGUGAUCUUCCAACAAAAUGGUAAGUACGCCAGAGUCCCGUAUCUGCGAGGCACUUGACUUGAAACAAAGAAGUAGUAUACCGUAAUAUUGGCGCACACCUCCGGUACGUAUAAGUACACGGAUUAUCACACCACAAAUGUGAAGAUUUUCUUUGUGUUUUUGCUCAUGAAUAAUGAUGAGUUUGAAAAACGAAUUAUACAUCCCAUUUGGUUUGCUCAUAGCUUAUCGAAGGGAGGAUAGCUAUGAAACUCAAUAGCAAUGUCUUAGGAAAGUUACCUAUCCGUGACCCGAACAAUAGGGUAAAUUGGAAAUUAUUGCUAUUGGCGGAUUUGGCAAAAAUACAAUACGCAUGCACGUGAUUUACAAAUAAACGUUGAGUAACAAUAUAGAUAAUGAAUUAUAUUGUUAUUCUAAUGAGUUUCACAGCCAUCUUCCCUUCGAUAGCAUAGAAUAAAGAUCCACAUAGAAGGGCAACUUACGUCGGAAGCUUUGAAGUUUUUGUCCUCGCGCAUGUCGCAUUACGCAUGUUGGCCGCCAUUUUCCUGGCCAGUCAAUGACAUUUUCUGGCCAAUAAACACGCUGUACUGGCUGGCUGCUCCGCCUUCUGGCCAGUAAACCGCAUAUUUUUGCAUAAAAAAACGAGGACACGUUGCACCGCUGAGUUGCCCUUCUGUUACUGAUCUUUAUUCUGUGUCGAUAGGCUAUGGUUUGCUGUUCGUAUAAAUAGACGCUUGAUGAAUUUGCACACGAAACAGUAGUUUGAAAUCGAGGCGGAUGAUGCAAUCAAUGUAAAUAGUGUAGUUUCUAUUAAUGCCUGCCAGCAAAUUCAGAAAGCGUCUAUUAAUAAUACGCAGUUUAAAAAAGCGGGCUGUGCUAAAGUCAGUAUGUGCUUAGUAUCAAAACAAUAUAAUAUAAUUAAGCCAGGAAAUAAUAUGCAAACGUUUUAUAUAGCACUAUGAAUUUAAUAUUUCAUGUCGUAAUAGACUUCACUGUUUAUUGCAUUUUUUCCCCAAAUGGCCUCGUUUCCAUAGGCGCACAUGAAGGUUAUAUCUCCAUAAUUCAUGCACGCACAAGUUUCUCUUUUCUUAUUCUAUCUCUUGAGCCCAAUUAUCCUCAACCCUAUUAUCACGAGGAAAUAGGUGCAAUAAACAGUGCAGCAAUUAAUAUUCAUGUCGACUGUAUUUUUGUAAUAUACAAAUUUAUAUCCAGAAUUGAACUGAAAUUAAUUUUAUAUUUCUAAAAUCUUGUACACUAUAAUACUGCACUACGUUGCACGAUGAAUAUAUUAAAUUUAUGUAAUGGAGCAAAUAUUAGACUAUAUUAAAGUAUAAACAGACAAAAUCGUUGGUCUCUUUUCAUGUAAAAUUUCAAUAAUUGGAACGAGUAUUUGAAAAUUUCAAUAGACAACUUGCAUGUUAGACUAAUUUUUGAUAUAGGC
rnacentral:lncRNA from 1 species